rnacentral:lncRNA from 1 species
AUGGCGUUCGGGGAAGGUUUGUUUAUCUACCAAAAAGUCCGAGAACAGCACACGGAGGACAGCAUUUUCUCUCCGAUUCUUGUGGGGAAAUUGAGCAGCGACACAUGGAGAAAAUCUUCUGCUGGCGGCACGUGGUAGGCGGAGACGUAUAUCCCGUCGAAUUGCACGGCCUGUCCCCUCUGUCCAAGGAAACCUGAUGCCAUCUCGGCGGGAAAAGCCACACACGAUCAAGCGGAAGAGGAUCACGCAAUGCUGUGGAAAUUACGAACCAUGGAUGCAGGAAAGAAUUUGACGGAGGUGGUUAACACCGUCAGAAACCCGCCAAGUCGCGAUUUAUAUAGCCUUGAUUGGUAACGGCACGAUCCCCUGCCUGAAACUGGUCGUCGCUCCCUCGCGUCACAGGUCUGUGGAUAUAUUGGUACCUUUCUCUUCCACCACACUUCGGGGGACGGCCAGGAAAUACGAAUCUGAGAGCAAGGGAGAACCUAUCAAGAGUCAGUUUGGAAUGAAUCGCCUUACCAAAUGAAAGCACAGCCGAACUCCCCCUCUGGAUUUCUUCUCUUUUAUAUCCCCAAUUUAAGAGCUGAGUAGCUGUUUCGAUUCCGGCGCCUCGCCGUAUUGUUCUGUGCAACUGACAGUGGAAUGUGCCCUGGUUUCAAGUGCACUGAAGCAAAAGGUGUCCCGUACGUCGUGGGUUCGCUUUGCUGGCCAGAAACUGGGGAGAGUACGUGGUUAUUUCGUCCUAGUACCCCGAGACAAGCGAGCAGGCUGGUUUCCUCGAGAAUCGUCGUUGACGUGAAGGAUCAAAUCACCCUUGAGGGACUCAACAGGCAAAAAAUAAUGAAUAGAGGGUGGAGUGUGGCUGCUCAGCGUGUUCACUCAUAGGCUCCCCAUUUUGUGUUUUCUCUCUUACGAGCGACUGCGGAUCACAAGUGUCGUGGUGUAAUCCUUUCGAGGCACCAGGGGCUAAACUAUGCGAUGGUGCCACAACCGGUUCCGGCUCGUAGCGUGUGUACUCAUUCCCUAAACUAGAGUCAUUUCCAUAAAUUGUCCCCAACUGUAUCCGGGGCCGAAGGAACGGUCACAUGAAGAAAUCAACGGAGUCCUCCCGAAUCAUCUCGUGGCACAUCUGGAUGACCCGUCAAGCCAACGCCCCUAAAUCGGAUUUUCGGUUCUCCUUUAAUAGCCUACCUCUCAGCGUCAGUGUUCAAUAUAUGAAAAAAAACAUAUGAGUGAAGUUUUCUUCCUCAGAAUAAACUCGCGCACUCGUAAGGUACUUCGUUGUAAAGCCCCAGUGUCGGGUACUAAGUGUAAAAAAUUAGUGUCAGCCAAUUACAGGAGGCUAAAAAUCUGUUCUCAUUAGUUUUCAGCAGCAUAAGAGUGUUUCUAGUUGUGUCUUUCGGACGUUUUGCAUUCGAUGUAUCUCCACCAUUUGGAGGAACGGAAUACGAAUCUAGUGGCGCAUACGAGGUCAAGUAGCUGUGGUUCUGGUAUGCUAGUUGUUCAUCCUCCAUUCAUAAGUGUUUGACGGUAUCGUUGAAACUAUCGCCUGGUCGUUUUUCGAUUUUUGACAGAGUUUAGCAAUCUAGUGUUCGGCAGUCGGAACAGCAUGGCGAAUCGCCAGUUGUCCAGGGUGUUCACUGUGACAACAAGCACGGGGGCAAAGUUACGUCAAGCAUAAAGGAAAAGAGCCUAUGAUAUAUUAAUUUAAUGUACCGUGGAAAAUGCUGAGUAGAGCUGUCUCACCGUAACAGCACGGCCUAGUGCGACCAGUACCAAGUCUUGGUAUUCGCACGAUCUAUUGCGGGCCACCAGCACGUUUUACUUCUUGUCAACCUUCAGGAAUGGAGAGAUCACCCUUCGCACAGUACACUCAAUAGAAGAACCGAUCCAUUCCAUGAUUAUAUCGACUGCCGUAUUGACGGUGCUCGUACUCAUGCCUUGACGGUCGUUGAUGAAUUCCGGUGUGGUCUCCUGUGUGGAUGGAAGGGAAAUAUUCAUGAUCCCGUUGGUCCUGAAGAUCUCUUCCGCCGGCAUGCUCUCUGUCGCCAUAGAAGUACAUAGAUGCCAUGAUAUCUGCAGCUUCAUAUGGUGCCAUUGAAAGUGGUACGUACUGGUAGUAUGGAAGGGGGAAGAAGGCGUUUCCACUAUAGUACUGGGAGGCUAAUGAAGCCGCAAGGUAAUCUCUUACGGGAUCAUAGCGGUCACCUCGAUAAUAAGGAUACGACGAGUGUCUUGACGACGACGAGGCAGAGCCACGUCUGUUUGAACUGCGUGAACGCCGUGUUUCCUCAUUUUCGCUUUCGUGCCCCUCCGAAGUCGCGGAUAUUGUCCCUGAUGGUUGUGAUUGUUGUGAGGCAGGAGCGGCCUCCUGGCCUACAGAGAGAUUGGCCCCUUUCGUGCCAUCUUCCUGUGUCUGCUUCUGCGGCUGUCCUGCCAAUUUUCCAUCUCCAGAGGGAGGGAUCUCUUCAUUCGUCAGGUGAUCCGACUUUCGUUGUCUUGCAGUGGAUGCUUUCUUCUCUGUCUGCAACUCCCCAUCCAGGGGCAAGAGAAAGUAGAAUAAUGGGACUGGCUGCCAGAGACUUGCCAGAACAGAUUGCAUGACUUCGAGAGACGCUGGGAAGGGGAGAGUUGUGUACACAGGCGACCGUAGAGACAUGUCUUUAGGAGCCAAAAAGCUUCUGCCAGAGCUUCUUCUACGUUGGUCUUUCUCAGUUGAAACGCUGUUCCUCUUUUCCUUCAUCGUGUGCGUUUCAUUGCCGUCAGAAUCUGUGUGAGUUCUUGACGAAACUGAAGAGGCACAAGGCUGUUCGAGCCCUGCAAUCGUCGUUGGAUCCUCCCCUACACCCGACCGGGAUUUGUCAUCCGAUAAACCCAUCUCGUCAUUGGAAGCCGAAGGAACGGUGUCUUCUUGUUCACUAGUUCUCUUCACGGGCACGACCUCUAUCGCCAUCUUCUCAGUAUUUGAAAAAUGUGGAGAUUUCUCACCAGAAGCAUCAUCCUCUGCCGCUGUACACCUGAGAAUCACUGCUUGUCCCACAAGCAAAAGAAAACAAAGUUUCGUGAACAUACGAGCGCUCAUGUUUCCGACCGAGUGCCGAAUGAACAAGAAAAUGAGGAUGAGUGUGCGGAAAUCGGACACGUGUGUAAGAGGAAGUUGUCAACUGUUUGAGUGGCGCCUUUAUUUUGACAAAAUUUUGUCACCUACUUGGGGAAAGUCAAAAAUGGGAAACACUACAGUAUGCUCCGUCUGGAGUGAAGCCAAAUGAGGAGUAAAUUAUGAUGGAAAAAGCUUUUUUGAACGAGUCAAUAUAGGCGAGAAAACAGGCUACCAGACGGCGGCUUCCCGCACAGAUGCUUCAAAGGAGGGAGCCGCGCGAACGUGGUGGUAGACCGUACAAAGGAACGCGCGAUGUCAGGGUGGAGGUAUGCUUCCGACCAUGCCGUCCAUGCCUUCGCGGUGUGCAAUCGAGGGAAGAUCCAGCAAAUCAUGCGUGCCCAUCAUUCGACCUUUGCUACACACAGCCUUACUGACAUGGUCGCUCUUUUUCCAAUUGAAAAAUUCGCAGUGGGAAAAGCGUUAAGUCAGGAAUUACAAGACUCGUCCUCGACAUCCCGGCAGCGCACAUCUCAUAGCAAUAACGCCUAUUGCACUAGAAUAUGCACAUAAUCUACAUGGGAAACGGUGGUGUGACACCGGAUUUGUUUGAGGAAGACAACGUCCUAUACUGGUCUCGUGAAACACACUCGAUACUGCGAUAUCUACAGUGCGACAGAAACAUCUGUCGACUGCGCGACGAGGGACCAGCAGUGACCCCAAUUCGAUACAUGUAUGAACCGAGACAAAAUACUCCCAUUGAAGGGUCAUCUGGAAAUUUACCACCUCGUAAGUUUAUGCGCUCGGACUGGGUCAUUUCGCAAACUGAGAAGUAGGAGUGGUCCCCUUUGUCGAACGAAGUCUCCCCAGUCGCGCAGCCGGGAAAUGGCUGCUGAAAUUUUGUCUGUCAACGCUGGAAAGAACCGCAAUCUUUUCCCAGUGGCUCUGUAGGAAGAACGUCGGCGUGCACAACGCUUAGACUUGAGCGGCUUAAUGCCAAUCAAGCAUGCGAGUUUGAGGUUUUCAGGAAAAUUAUGUGGAAGAAGAGGCUGGAUAUAACUACCCAAGUACAUAAUAUACCAUCCCAGCUGUAGGGGUUAAACUAUAGAAGAGUCGAGUAUUUCCGUACAAGCCAAGCCCAAAACGCGUUUGUGCGCCGAUAUGAAGAACAUGGCGUCUGUUAUUCUUUGUGUACUGUCGAGUUUCCCUAAAAGGGCACUUUCCAGUCGUCAACGGUGCUUAUCCGAUCAUGCACGCGCACUCGUUCUCAACUCACAUCUGGUUCUCUGACCUUCAUGGAAACUUGGGAGGUUACCGUUUCCCCGAACCUCCCUCGCUAGUGAUGACUCGAGUUGAACCGUGACUGCUGUCUAUCCUUCGUCGAGGAAAUAGCAAGAUGAUACCACAAUGGUCCCUGCAGGAUACCGAAAACAAUACAGGCAGAUAAGUGUGCGUUAGAGAGGCGCGAUUGGAUUUUUUCACAGCUGCAGUUGCCGUUAACAUCGAUAAAUCAUAACCUGCGUCAAGUUACCCG